rnacentral:rRNA from 1 species
CCCCAAGAGUUCACAUCGACGGGGAGGUUUGGCACCUCGAUGUCGGCUCAUCGCAUCCUGGGGCUGUAGUCGGUCCCAAGGGUUGGGCUGUUCGCCCAUUAAAGCGGUACGCGAGCUGGGUUCAGAACGUCGUGAGACAGUUCGGUCCCUAUCCGUCGUGGGCGUAGGAAAUUUGAGAGGAGCUGUCCUUAGUACGAGAGGACCGGGAUGGACAUACCUCUGGUGUACCAGUUGUCGUGCCAACGGCAUAGCUGGGUAGCUAUGUAUGGACGGGAUAAGUGCUGAAAGCAUCUAAGCAUGAAGCCCCCCUCAAGAUGAGAUUUCCCAACUUCGGUUAUAAGAUCCCUCGAAGAUGACGAGGUUAAUAGGUUCGAGGUGGAAGCGUGGUGACACGUGGAGCUGACGAAUACUAAUCGAUCGAAGACUUAAUCAA